AUUAUCUGGGUUACAUCCUUUAAAGUAUAUAUAGCUUAAAAGGGAAGGCUUGGUGGAGCUGGGAGGGAGGAAAGAGGUCUCUGCUUGCUGGGAGAAGCUCUGAUUAACACUAGGGAAGUUUUCUUUACGCCCCUUGCUGCUCCAAGCAUGGGAGGAGAGGGGAUGCUCUUAAACCUCCCCAAACUCCAUGUCCUUCUGACAGCAUCCUACAGAAGCUCCUAGUUGAUGGUCAUUGACCAAAACAUUUGUUUUUAACACCAGACGUCAGCCAAAGAGGACUUGGUUGUUAAUCACUGCCUCUGAUCCAUGUUAUUUCUGUGUUUUAGCUGUUUGAUUGAGAAAGAGACGUUGAUGAGAUCUGUGUUCUUGCUAACUUUGAUUUCCGGAAGGAAAUAAGUAUAUGCUUUGUAAUAAUAACAGUUUUAAAGAACAAGCAAGUCUGUCCAAGUUAAUGAAGGCCGUACAAUCAGCCUGCCGGCAUAAAUCAUGUUAUUCUGUAGAAGACGUUGACAAAUGGCAUCCGAAAGUGUAGAAGAGAGGAAAACAAACAACGCAACCCCUUCCCCCAGCUCUUCUGGGAGCAAUGCAAAACUUGGGAGAUGCAUCGAAUUUCCAUCUCGUACCGCACUAACUGUGCUGGGUAAUGGGCCACAAGUCACCACUGACUUCAUGCCAGUAUCAGAGUGAAAGGUGAAAUAUCCAGUUCACUCUGAUAACUCCCCCCAUGACUCGAGGGAGCAGGAAUGCAUAUUUCCGAGGUGCCGCUGCUUUGCCUCGUGGCUGUGACGGGCUCUGGAGAGAGGACAUUUCCCAGGAUCAAUCUACUGCUCGUAGGACUCUGCUCAUCACUUUCAGCUCUUGCGUAGCCCUUUUGUGCAGAUGGGAAUGGCUUUGUGCAAGAGCAACGGCCAAAGAGCAUUGUUGAAGAGUGGCAUGCACCCAAAAAGAAAGGAAACCUGGGCUCACUGCUAGAGCAGACAUGGGAAGAUCAACACUUUGGCAGCAUGAGCACACUGCAGAUCUGGAAACAGCACUAAACCUGUCCCAGCUGCACAUGGGAAAAGGUGAGAACGAUCAGCUGAGUUACAAUCUAUUAUUCAAGAUAACUUGGAAAGCUUUGCAAUUUUCUUUUCAGUGAAUUCGCUUCUGUAUAUAGCACUAGAGUAGUUAAUUUUCUAUGAAAACCCAGAAAGCUGCCUUCAAAAGAUAAUAAAGCUUGAUCAGUUCACCUGGGUUUCCUUUUU
rnacentral:lncRNA from 1 species